rnacentral:rRNA from 1 species
CCUACGGGAGGCAGCAGUGGGGAAUUUUGGACAAUGGGCGCAAGCCUGAUCCAGCCAUGCCGCGUGUGGGAAGAAGGCCUUCGGGUUGUAAACCACUUUUGUCAGGGAAGAAACGGUCUGAACUAAUACUUUGGGCUAAUGACGGUACCUGAAGAAUAAGCACCGGCUAACUACGUGCCAGCAGCCGCGGUAAUACGUAGGGUGCAAGCGUUAAUCGGAAUUACUGGGCGUAAAGCGUGCGCAGGCGGCUUUGCAAGACAGAUGUGAAAUCCCCGGGCUCAACCUGGGAACUGCAUUUGUGACUGCAAGGCUAGAGUACGGCAGAGGGGGAUGGAAUUCCGCGUGUAGCAGUGAAAUGCGUAGAUAUGCGGAGGAACACCGAUGGCGAAGGCAAUCCCCUGGGCCUGUACUGACGCUCAUGCACGAAAGCGUGGGGAGCAAACAGGAUUAGAUACCCUGGUAGUCCACGCCCUAAACGAUGUCAACUGGUUGUUGGGAGGGUUUCUUCUCAGUAACGAAGCUAACGCGUGAAGUUGACCGCCUGGGGAGUACGGCCGCAAGGUUGAAACGUCGAAAGGAAUUGACGG